UGCGAAGGGGGCUAGCGUUGCUCGGAAUCACUGGGCGUAAAGGGUGCGUAGGUGGCGCUGUAAGUGGGGUGUGAAAUCCCGGGGCUUAACUCCGGAACUGCAUUCCAUACUGCGGUGCUUGAGGACUGGAGAGGAGACUGGAAUUUACGGUGUAGCAGUGAAAUGCGUAGAGAUCGUAAGGAAGACCAGUGGCGAAGGCGGCUCACUGGUCCGGUACUGACGCUGAGGUGCGAAAGCGUGGGGAGCAAACAGG
rnacentral:rRNA from 1 species